AUUGAACGCUGGCGGCAUGCCUUACACAUGCAAGUCGAACGGCAGCACGGGAGCUUGCUCCUGGUGGCGAGUGGCGAACGGGUGAGUAAUACAUCGGAACGUACCCUGAAGUGGGGGAUAACGUAGCGAAAGUUACGCUAAUACCGCAUAUUCUGUGAGCAGGAAAGAGGGGGAUCGCAAGACCUCUUGCUUUAGGAGCGGCCGAUGUCGGAUUAGCUAGUUGGUGAGGUAAAGGCUCACCAAGGCGACGAUCCGUAGCGGGUCUGAGAGGAUGAUCCGCCACACUGGGACUGAGACACGGCCCAGACUCCUACGGGAGGCAGCAGUGGGGAAUUUUGGACAAUGGGCGCAAGCCUGAUCCAGCCAUGCCGCGUGAGUGAAGAAGGCCUUCGGG
rnacentral:rRNA from 1 species